rnacentral:rRNA from 1 species
GACGAACGCUGGCGGCGUGCUUAACACAUGCAAGUCGAGCGGUAAGGCCCUUUCGGGGGUACACGAGCGGCGAACGGGUGAGUAACACGUGGGUGAUCUGCCCUGCACUUCGGGAUAAGCCUGGGAAACUGGGUCUAAUACCGGAUAUGACCACUGAUCGCAUGGUUGGUGGUGGAAAGGUUUACUGGUGCAGGAUGGGCCCGCGGCCUAUCAGCUUGUUGGUGGGGUAAUGGCCUACCAAGGCGACGACGGGUAGCCGACCUGAGAGGGUGACCGGCCACACUGGGACUGAGACACGGCCCAGACUCCUACGGGAGGCAGCAGUGGGGAAUAUUGCACAAUGGGCGAAAGCCUGAUGCAGCGACGCCGCGUGAGGGAUGACGGCCUUCGGGUUGUAAACCUCUUUCAGCAGGGACGAAGCGCAAGUGACGGUACCUGCAGAAGAAGCACCGGCCAACUACGUGCCAGCCGCCGCGGUAA